rnacentral:rRNA from 1 species
AAGACCUUGCACUUUUGGAGCGGCCGAUGUCUGAUUAGCUAGUUGGUGGGGUAAUGGCCUACCAAGGCUUCGAUCAGUAGCUGGUCUGAGAGGACGGCCAGCCACACUGGGACUGAGACACGGCCCAGACUCCUACGGGAGGCAGCAGUGGGGAAUUUUGGACAAUGGGCGCAAGCCUGAUCCAGCCAUGCCGCGUGAGUGAAGAAGGCCUUCGGGUUGUAAAGCUCUUUCAGCCGGGAAGAAAAGGUUGCGAUUAAUAAUCGCAAUUUAUGACGGUACCGGAAGAGGAAGCACCGGCUAACUACGUGCCAGCAGCCGCGGUAAUACGUAGGGUGCGAGCGUUAAUCGGAAUUACUGGGCGUAAAGGGUGCGCAGGCGGUUUUGUAAGUCAGAUGUGAAAUCCCCGGGCUUAACCUGGGAACU